GGGGGCGUAGCUCAGUGGUAGAGCACCUGCCUUUUAAGCAGGGUGUCGCGGGUUCGAUCCCCGCCGCCCUCA
rnacentral:tRNA from 1 species